rnacentral:rRNA from 1 species
UUGGAGGGCAAGUCUGGUGCCAGCAGCCGCGGUAAUUCCAGCUCCAAUAGCGUAUAUUGAAGUUGUUGCAGUUAAAAAGCUCGUAGUUGAAUUUCGGGAUCAGCAGGUUGGUCGUGCCUCUGGUAUGCACUGGUUUCGCUGAUUCCUCCUUUCUGAAGAACUGUAAUGUCAUUAAUUUGGUGUUGCAGGGAAACAGGACUGUUACUUUGAAAAAAUUAGAGUGUUUAAAGCAAGCUAACGCUUGAAUACAUUAGCAUGGAAUAAUGAAAUAGGACGUUUGAUCCUAUUUUGUUGGUUUCUAGGAUUGACGUAAUGAUUAAUAGGGAUAGUUGGGGGCAUUAGUAUUCAAUUGUCAGAGGUGAAAUUCUUGGAUUUAUUGAAGACUAACUACUGCGAAAGCAUUUGCCAAGGAUGUUUUCAUUAAUCAAGAACGAAAGUUAGGGGAUCGAAGACGAUCAGAUACCGUCGUAGUCUUAACCAUAAACUAUGCCGACUAGGGAUCGGAUGAUGUUAAUUUUUUAAUGACUCAUUCGGCGCCUUACGGGAAAC